AGGGGUGGCAAAAUAUGACCCGACCCGCCAACCCGACCCGCGUUCGACCCGCCAUAAAUAGGUUCGGGUUUGGCCUAAACAGGUUCGGGUCGUAAACAGGUUGACCCGUUUAACCUGUUUAUUAAUUGGGUCGGAUACGGAUUUUAAAUGUCUUGACCCGUUUAACCUGUUUAACCCGUUUAGAUUGUAAUUGGGCUGCUGCCGUUCAUCUAAGAUCAGGUGGUUUAUAAUCACUAGGAGUUCUCACAAACCCUAGGUCCCUAAGCGUUUUCUAUUCCCCGUGCGCUGUGCAGCCAUGCGGCCGUGUCGUGCGAGGGCUUGGAGUUGGAAGCACCGAGCACGCGAGUCCGAGAGGAGGGGAAGAUCGCCGCGGUUAGGAGGAGGGGAAGAUCGCCGCGGUUAGGAGGAGGGGAAGAAGAUCGCCCCGAGUCUGAG
rnacentral:lncRNA from 1 species